CCCACUGUGUGAAGCCGAGAAGGGGAGAGAGAUUCAGAAGAAAUCAUUUCCACAUUCACCUCUCUUCAACUCUCUCAAGCCCCUCUUCCAACAGCCUCACCGGAGAACAAACCUCAUGGCAUCGGAAAUCGCCUUCGACGGCGGCGAAGGUCCAAACGACCUCAUACAUACAUCAACCAUCUCGUUUUCACUCCCUCUCUCUCAAUCUCAAAACGACUUCUGUUAGUGAAAUUUGAGAGGAAAGGCUGGUAUGAUCUUGAUAUGAAACAAUUUUUUUGGCAAAGUGUGGAUCAAGGUUGGCAUGGAGUCAUGUAGAUCAUGAAGACCUUUGGCAAGUCAUGGCAUAUGAAGAAGACCUUAGAGGAUGGGAUGUCCUAGAGGAUGAAUAAAAAGUGGGAUUAGGGUUUAGGACAACUAAUUGACUUUGGUCAACUAUUUGACCAAAAAGUCAAUUGUUGACCAAAAGUCGACCCUAUGUCAAAACAUGUAAUUUUGUGUAGAAUUUUGUAGUAUUGGAUUUGCAAUGUGAUUUGAUGAUUUUGUGAUGAAAAAUGGCUUUUGAAAUGAAUAUGUAUGCCUUGUAUCAUAAGAAAGAUGGUUUACCUCCAAAAUCCAAUUCUGAAUAUUUGAACUUGUACUGU